rnacentral:rRNA from 1 species
GAUGAACGCUGGCGGCGUGCCUAAUACAUGCAAGUCGAGCGAACAGACGAGGAGCUUGCUCCUCUGACGUUAGCGGCGGACGGGUGAGUAACACGUGGAUAACCUACCUAUAAGACUGGGAUAACUUCGGGAAACCGGAGCUAAUACCGGAUAAUAUAUUGAACCGCAUGGUUCAAUAGUGAAAGACGGUUUUGCUGUCACUUAUAGAUGGAUCCGCGCCGCAUUAGCUAGUUGGUAAGGUAACGGCUUACCAAGGCAACGAUGCGUAGCCGACUUGAGAGGGUGAUCGGCCACACUGGAACUGAGACACGGUCCAGACUCCUACGGGAGGCAGCAGUAGGGAAUCUUCCGCAAUGGGCGAGAGCCUGACGGAGCAACGCCGCGUGAGUGAUGAAGGUCUUCGGAUCGUAAAACUCUGUUAUUAGGGAAGAACAAAUGUGUAAGUAACUAUGCACGUCUUGACGGUACCUAAUCAGAAAGCCACGGCUAACUACGUG